rnacentral:tRNA from 1 species
UCGGGGAUCUGUCAAUGGUAGGCACCCUGGCUCUGAACCAGGUAAUCGUGGUUCGAAUCCAUGUCCCCGAG